UCAAUUACGAUUUCCAUCAUGUAUGUACAACGUUUUUCGUUUUUUUUCACGAAACACCUAUCUAUAUUGUUAUGGUGAUGAAAAAUUGGAGGAUUUUUUACGAUAUGUAACAAUAGCGGAGCAUCCAGCCAAUCUAAUGCUGAACA